rnacentral:sRNA from 1 species
UCAUCCCAUAGCUCGACGGAGCGAAAGCGGAAACCUUCAUCCGCCCUGGGAUGAUUCUUAUCUGAAGG